CCAGAGAACUUUCCAGAGAUGGAUUGGUGCCUUCGGGAACUCUGAGACAGGUGCUGCAUGGCUGUCGUCAGCUCGUGUUGUGAAAUGUUGGGUUAAGUCCCGCAACGAGCGCAACCCUUAUCCUUUGUUGCCAGCGGUUAGGCCGGGAACUCAAAGGAGACUGCCAGUGAUAAACUGGAGGAAGGUGGGGAUGACGUCAAGUCAUCAUGGCCCUUACGAGUAGGGCUACACACGUGCUACAAUGGCGCAUACAAAGAGGAGCGACCUCGCGAGAGCAAGCGGACCUCAUAAAGUGCGUCGUAGUCCGGAUUGGAGUCUGCAACUCGACUCCAUGAAGUCGGAAUCGCUAGUAAUCGUGGAUCAGAAUGCCACGGUGAAUACGUUCCCGGGCCUUGUACACACCGCCCGUCACACCAUGGGAGUGGGUUGCAAAAGAAGUAGGUAGCUUAACCUUCGGGAGGGCGCUUACCACUUUGUGAUUCAUGACUGGGGUGAAGUCGUAACAAGGUAAGCGUAGUGCU
rnacentral:rRNA from 1 species